GGGCGCAUAGCUCAGCAAGGUAGAGCGGCUGGCUCUUAACCAGUUGGUCGGGGGUUCAAGUCCCUCUGCGCCCG
rnacentral:tRNA from 1 species